GCGGAUGUAGUUCAAUGGUAGAACACCGGCUUCCCAAGCCGAUAACGCGGGUUCGAUUCCCGUCAUCCGCUCCA
rnacentral:tRNA from 2 species